CACGGGGGGAGCAAGCGUUGUUCGGAAUCACUGGGCGUAAAGGGCGUGUAGGCGGUUCGGUAAGUGGGAUGUGAAAUGCCCCGGCUCACCCGGGGACCGGCAUCCCAAACUGCCAGACUUGAGUAUGGGAGAGGAUGAGGGAAUUCCUGGUGUAGCGGUGAAAUGCGUAGAUAUCAGGAGGAACACCGGUGGCGAAGGCGCUCAUCUGGCCCAAUACUGACGCUGAUGCGCGAAAGCUAGGGGAGCAAACAGG
rnacentral:rRNA from 1 species